CACAUAUAACGAUUUAAAUUAAUCAAAAGAAAUCAUACGGAUCAACGACAGCGUUAAAUUUACACUAUACUUAGCAAGUCCAUAAAAAAACAGGUGUAUUGGCGAAAAGUCAACAGAUGAACAAAUGCUCUCUUCAACGUUGAGUUUUUGUCUUCAAAUGACUUUUGAAAAGGAAAAAAAGAAAACAAAACAAAUAAAAACAAAAAUAAAAGAACCAAAAAGAAUGAUAAAAAAAAUCAAAGCGGAAAAUAAAAAAAACGCGGUAUUGACGGAUAAUGACAAUUCUGCCUAAGAAAUUUAGUUUUUCUCUAAUCGGCUGCCUGCAUAUGAUUAUAUGAAUGUAGUUUUAACAGAUUUGUACUUGUUAAAAUGAAAUUUCCAUAAGGAAGAGUUUUCGCGUGACUGGGAAACGGAUGGCUUGAUAUCACAAAUUCCGGCUUAGCAGUCAAUACCGCAAGAAGGCAAGUUAAAUCCGUAAAUAAACAAUUUUGACAAAGAGCUGCCAGUUAAUUGUAAAACAUACGAUGUAAAAACCU